CCGGCGAUGAUUAAUUGCAUUUUACCAAUUGUUCCAACUGAAUGUACAUAGGUUGACAAUAAGCAUAUUCGUUAAGUUUCAGCCUUGUAUGAGCCAU
rnacentral:snoRNA from 1 species